rnacentral:misc_RNA from 1 species
AAUCAUCAAACACCUUUUUCUGUUUACCGAAAAAGGUUUUUGGACUUGGAGGUUCAAUGCUCGCCUUUCACUUUUGAAAAGCGAGCUCCUCUCAAAUGAAUUAGUGGGGUUCUCUUUGCCGAUCCUCGACGUGAUAAGAUGUUUCUACGUUUUGGAUUUGGCACUGACGCCUGCUUCUAACUGUCCCCACGGACAACGAUGGUGCUCUGGUCGCCACCGUCUACAUUGGCGGAGGAGGGCUGGACCCACAAAAGAAAA